rnacentral:lncRNA from 1 species
UAAAAUAUUGGGCUUAAGCAAUAUUGGAGUAUGAAUAACAAAUGAGCUAGAUCCAGGAGUGCGGAAAGCCCACAAGGGCAAUGGGGGUCAACUCAGGGGAGUGAGAACUUGACUCUCAACUGAGAUCAUAUGAUCUGUUGACUGGAUAGUCAACAUGAUGAGAAUGUGGCCAUUAGAUCAUGUCAAAGGGGGUGGUAAGCUAGAUG